rnacentral:rRNA from 1 species
UACGAAGGGGGCUAGCGUUGCUCGGAAUCACUGGGCGUAAAGCGCACGUAGGCGGGUCUUUAAGUCAGGGGUGAAAUCCUGGAGCUCAACUCCAGAACUGCCUUUGAUACUGAGGAUCUCGAGUCCGGGAGAGGUGAGUGGAACUCCGAGUGUAGAGGUGAAAUUCGUAGAUAUUAGGAAGAACACCAGUGGCGAAGGCGGCUCACUGGCCCGGUACUGACGCUGAGGCGCGAAAGCGUGGGGAGCAAACAGG